rnacentral:antisense_RNA from 1 species
CGUCUUUCAUCCAGGUUGUAAUUGCAGUGGAAGGGGAGACCAAACAUUCAAAGAUUGCUGAAGAGCCAACGAACUCUGAUUCUGUCAAGAUGAUGUCUUUGAUUUCUUUCACAAACUUCAGUGGCACAGCCUUUAGCUGUUUAGGAAAAUGCAAGAAGACAUAUGUAGAUGAGACAAAGAUAGACCAUGUCUAUACAUGUAUGAAAUGGAUGGGAGACAAAGGAAGCAACACUCAAUGAGCCAGGACCAUAAAAGCCACAGAAAUAUAAGAAAUGAAUGGGACUACUCUCUGAUCAUUGAAAAAGAGAGACAGAACAUUCGAUGGAGGCAGAAAGAGCGAGGAGUCAGCAGCAGGCAUGGCAUGACAAGCAACCCAGGAACCAUGGGGCAGCAGAAGACACAGCUCUAUGCAAUCUCACAGUACAAUCAUGUCUGAAAGUACACACUUCUAAAAGUCAUACAUUUCUUGCAAGCAUCAUUUCAGAUGGCUGGAUAGAAGUUUGAAGCAGGCUAAUAAAACUUUGGAAGUGGCAUUUUUUACCUUU